rnacentral:lncRNA from 1 species
UACUCUGGCCUUCACAAAUUAUUUCGAACAGAGCAUUGUCUUCUGCACAUUUAUUUGUAAUACGCAAAAUUAAGGUGUCCUGGUUUUGAAGGAUUAUGUUGUUUGUACUAAUGAUAGUGUCAGGAAUCUUGCAUAAUCCUUUUAGAAGGUAUUUAAUUUUCUCAUUUGACUGAAGAAUCUCUCCAAACUCCUGUCUCCGGGUUGACUCAUCUACUCGGGCAAUAUCUGUAGAAAAUAUGCACCGCACAGGCUUGUGAUCACUAUCUGUGACAUCCAUGCAAGCUUCGUACCUAUUGAAAGUGAGAUGAUAAUAAUUAAAAAAAAGGUUGUGCUUCCACUCAUGCUGAUUUGAGUAUUUGAGAGAAUUUAGCCAGAAUCUGUCAUGAGUGGUAAUUGGAUAAGCAAUGGUAGCAGGGAUCCCUCAUUCAUUCAAGAGCAAAAGGUAAUACCAGCUCAUUCUGGCAAAACAUAUUUGGCUAUCUACUAUUUCCCUAUUUUAGAACAUCUAAAGUUCAAUUUUGACUUCCACCGCAGUCCCAUUUAUAUAAUAAAGAGAUCCCUUAUUGAUAGGUAGACAACAAUCAAACCUUAUCCCACUACCCCACUAGGUAGAGUUGGCUACAUGGAUCAAAUGACAAAUGGAAAUAAAUAUACAAAAAAGAGAACUUACUGCAAUACAGAACAGACAACUGGACAGUCUAAAUUGCAGUCAGCCACCAAACAAGGGCGACAAUCACGAUACAAAAUUCUGUCACACCAGGCAGGGAUACGUUUCUUCUCACCAGAAUCAUACCCUUCAAAGAAAGAAUUCAUACAAAUCUGAAAUAUACCCUUCGAAAUCUCGAAGCAGUUAUAGUGAAAGAGAACCUAUUAGCAGUAGUGACUGUUAAUUGAAAAUUGAAAUGAUUCACCUUUCAAUUCAAAUCACACAGCAAGACUGAAUAAGUAGUUACAAUCAUAAAAAAAAAGGUGCACUAGCACACGAGGCUGCCACAUGAUCAAGUCUUGGGCAAAUGUAUGCAGCCUAACCCCCCAAAUGAAGGGGUUUUGACUUGUUUCCAAGAUUUGAACUCAUGAUUACUAGUUCACGUCACUAUACAACAAUCUUAACUAAACCCUACAUUUUGAACAAUUCAUAUAAAGACAAAGAUGAAGAGGAUUGAAAAUCAUUAUUUGUGAGGUGUGAUUGCAAUAGGGAUUUUAAAUACAUCUGGCUUCUUUCAUUCUUUUAUUCCUCUCCUAUACUGUAUGGUAUGCAUGUUAUUGGUCUGUGAAUAAAAAUUCUUAGUAAGUGGAGCUGCAGAAAUGAGGGUGGGCCUCAGCACAACACUAAGGUUGUUUGCCUUGUGACCUAGAGGUCCUGGGUUAAAAUCUUGGAAACAACCUUUUUGCUUGUGAUAGUAAAGUGUUAGAACUGGUAAUCAAGAAUUAAAGAACUGAGUAUGAAGAUGUAUUAUUAUUCAAUAGUCAAGAAUGCACUACAGAUGCUUGAAAGAAUAAUUGAAUGAUUUCUUAUGAAUCAAUUUCCCUCCAAAACUGUCAACUAACAUAUUAUCCCCUCCCCUCCUAAUUACUUCUAUUUAUACUAACUACUAACAGGACCUAACGACAAGUCCGUUAGUGUAAAUUCUGUUUAUUGCGUCUAACAUAUACAUUUUUGAUAGGUGGCUUCGGUUUAAUACCUCCCAUAUCCCUAUCAAUACGGAAUUGAUUCAUAGGGGAUCAUUCGGUUAUUCUUUCAAACUUUGUAGUGCAUUCUUGGCUAUUGAAUAAUAAUACAUCUUCAUACUCAGUUCUUUAAUUCUUUCCAUUCUUGAUUACCAUUUCUAACAUAAAGCUGUAUAUAUCUACCUUCUCCAGACUCCGCUAGGUGAGAGCCUCAUGAAUUGGGUCACCCUUUUUAACUGAAGCUUUAGAAAUGCUCUACUUCUGAUCCAAGAAUAGAGAAGAAAUAUAGCAACCCAAGGCACAUGUUUUACAUUUGAAUCCCAUGUCAAUCAUUCCUCUUUUGAUGAUAAAUAUAUCCCUUUGGUUUAAUCAAACAGGGAUUAGUGUGGGUUAUGAAAUUGACGCAUUGAGUUUCUGAAAUGCCUCAUGUUCACAGACCCUUUGUUUGUGCCUUGGGGAUAUAUUUUACACACAAUAAAAAUAAAAUGGAAGCAUUGGAUUGGUAUGGGGAUCUGUGUGAUCCCUGCGCAGCAGAUUCAGAGUAAAUCCAACAGUGCAGAAGUGAGGGACCAGUUGUUUUAGUAAACAAAGAGACUGUAAUAAUACUAAUUCCGAAGGUUGAGUCACUACGCAAUGGUAAGGUUGCUUGCCCUGUGACCUGAAGGUCAUGGGUUCAAAUCCCGGAAACAACCUCUUCGAUUGCGAGGGUGAGACAGUGUACAUCUCCCUCCCAAAGUCACUAGGUAGGAGCCUUAUGCAUUGGGCCGCCCUAACAAUAUUAUUUCCGUUAUAACACCAGAGUAACAAGUUAAUCCAAUUUAUUUUACAAUAAAAGUGCAAAACAAACCUGCUAAACCAACUUGAUGCCGUUCAAACUUGUAUGUGGGAGGAAAUGUGAUAAUCGCUUCACGCAUUCCUUGGAAGACAUUCCCAGUAUCCAUUUCUGCUCGAAGCUGAUCCCUUUCUCUUAGCCAAUCAAAACACCUUUGAGAAACAAAAUCCCUAGCUUCAUCAUAUGAAAUGCCGUCAAGGCGAUAGUUUAAAUCACCAAGAAACACAACCAUCUCUGCCUCAGAUAACUCAGGCAUCGCUUCUGCGGACUGGACACCAAUCUCCACAAUCAAUGAUUCAUACAAUUUUCUAAAUGCAUAAUGAAUUACUACUUAAGGAAAAAGUACGCAGCAUCUACAUACAUUUGUAACACGAAAUGUUGGAAUAGAAGAUGAAGUGCUAGCUGAAACAGAAACGACCAAUGUCAAGCCAGAUCUAUAAACACACAAAUUAAAUAAAUGGAUAAUGCAAGUAAGCAAAACAGUAAAGGAAAGCAGGGUACCAGCCGCAGCAUUUAAGAAGUUUGUUGGCCGGCUGAAGGACAUUGUUCGGUAUACAUGAUCAAAAUCAGCAUUGCGACGACUAACUGCAUCUAAAUGCGCAGCAAAGUGACAAUUAACAAAGCACAUUAUCCGAUCAUACACUCUAAUCCUCAAACCAACAGCUCCCUGGAGAGACAAUUAUUUCACAAGUCAACGAUCAGAAUAACUAAAACUAACAACUAGAAGAUAAUAGUCUAAAGUUUUCUUGGAAACACAUUGUUUGCACAUUACGCAUACAGGACAUGGUGCAUUAGUGUUGUCAAUACUAAGUACCACUGCCAUGGAAUGGCAUUUAUGUGAGGGAGGGUCACAACCAUAAAAAACCCUAUGGUGUGGCAGUUCAACAGGCACAGCCUUAGCGGUGGCAUCCAUGGCAUAUGACAUGAGUUCAUACUUAGGCAGGACAUCAUGCAAAAGGUUUGCAAUAGUAUCGUUGUGGCAUUGAAUAGUUUAUGUGAUGUACACCCUCCUAGGGCAGCCUUUGAUUCCAAGGGCAAGAUAAGUCAUGAUGGUCCUACAACUAGGGCCAAAGCCAAGGCAGGGAUCCUUAAAGUCUCAAAGGACACAAUUGACCCAGGAGAGGGUAUGUGAGGAGGACAUUUAUGUCCUUAUGUCACUUUAUACUUAGGUUUAUUUUAUUUUCAUUGAUUCAAAUAAAUGAGAUUGCAUUCUCAUAUAGUCUUAGGUUUAUUUUCAUUGUUAGUAUUUAAUUCAUGUAAUAUGGGUUGGGAAUUAUUUGUAACAUUGGUCCAUAUUCAUGACCAAGUAGUUUACUUAGGUUCAAGGGUAAGCCUUUCACGUGGCUAGGGCAAAUGGAAGUCAAUGCAUGAUCAUUUCAAGGAAGGAGGCACGUAAGGAAAUCUAUCUAUAAGGACAAACAAGGAGAUAAGGCAAUUCAGCUAACACUUUAUCUCUAAGGCAAACAAGGAGAUAAGGCAUGGAGGGAAAACGAAUUUAAAAGAAGAUAGGUUUGUUUUAGCAAUUUGAAUUUGAAUUUGAAUUUGAAUUUGGAUUUGAAAGAAGAUAGAUUUGAAUUUGAAUUCAAGGGUAUAUGGCACACGUUUUCAAACUUGGAGAUAAAGAGAAGAUUAUAUGAAGAUUAAAGAGAGAUUAAUCAAUCUCCCAAAGAUGCACACGGCUAGAAACAAGGAAAGAAGAUAGGAAGCUCAAUCUUUUAAGGUGCACAAGGCUAUAAAAUAGGGAAUCCUAAUCUCAUCUCCAACCAACAACAAAUCAGAUUGGAUUCAAAUUAAAUAUGAUUAGUUCCUCAAGAUGAAGUCAAAUUGAUCAAGUCUCUUCCUUCUCCUCAACAAAUUCGGCCAACCAUCCACCAAAACCGAAUUACACUCAAGACUAAGUCAAACAAGCAAUUCAGCUCAACCAAUUGAUAUUACUUAGGAUUUUAUUUUUAUGUUUACUAGAAGAUAAUUUGAUUUCUAUCUUCUAUUUUAUCUAUUCAGCCAAGGCAACUUUGCCUAUUUAUAGUUUGAUCAAAUCAUUAAUAAAGGUUAAGUUUUAUUUUGAGUAAAUUUGAAUUGUUUUAGUUGAGAGCACUUCUCCUAAACCUAGGUUGGCCGUGGCCACCACCAUACUUGUUCUUAUCAAGCAUCCUUGCUUGUGGCGAACCCCAUAGCUUAUCAAGCAGCAUUGCUUGUGGCGCUCCUCACCUUCCAUUCUUUUCCACCUUCACCUUCAUCCUACAAACCAUACACAAACCCUAGCCUAAUUAUACAUCCCAAACCGAAGCCACAUCUACCCCAAAAUUACCCUAAUUCCCCAAAACCGAAUUCACACAUUCACAAAUCUAAGUUCAAGCUAAAACGAUCCUUUAAUUCAAAGGCAGCCCCAAGAGGUUGUCAUCAAGUGGUCAUCAGAGCUAGUUUUGGCUUGAAACCCAAGUCAUGGCCAAUGAGGCCAACCAAAGGACAAACAUCUUCCUUUCUAGGUGUUUGGUCCAAGGAAACAUCUGCCUAUUAAGUAUUGAUGGUGGUUGUACCAACAUGGCUAGUUCAAGGUUAGUUUCAAAACUAAACCUUGAGACUAAACCACAUCCCACUCCUUACCAACUACAAUGGUUAAGUGAGAUUGGGGGGAUUAUUGUGAACCAGCAAGUGGAGGUUCCCUUUUCAAUAGGGAAAUAUGAAGAUGUAGUUCUUUGUGAUGUGGUUCACAUGGAGACCAGCCAUAUACGUUUGGGUCGUCCAUGGCACAUGGAUAAGAGGACCAUCCAUGAUGGAUUUUCAAACAAAUACACUUUUUUUCACCAAAAUCGCCAAAAAAUGGGAUCAGUCUCACCCAAAAAAGUGAGUACUAAAAAGGCCAAAAAAUGACUUGUUGAAUAUUUGAAGCUAGGAUAUAUACAUAUUGCAAACCAUCAAGUAUCGAAAGUUCUCACCAUUGGCAGAAUUGUUUAGCUUACCAAUGACUCAAUCCAGAUUUUGUUUUGGUACAUAACAGGAAGUCUGUUAAAAUGGAUUUCCAUUAUACAAAAUUCCAAGCAAAAUAAUGAGAGAGUAACAAGUAUCAGUGUGUUAGUUACCCAUUCUCUAAAAAGGAAAAACUCAACAAUAGCCAGCUUCGGCUUCAAUAACAACAAAGGCAGUCAAUUUCCCCAUUCAAUUGCUGCUUGUAUUGUUUAGUAUUAUGGUACAGACAUUUACACAAUAAAUUGGACUCAUUUCUUAACAAAUUAAAUAAUGGAUCUAAGAAAAGCUGUUUUGCUUAUUCUUGCCUUGCAUUUGCUUUCUCUAUACAGUUAAAACCAGCUCCAUGAUUAACAGUUUGACUGUGAACUCCCUAUAAAAAAACAGUGCCAAACAUAACCAGGAUGCUAAAUCUAUGAAGUUUUCAUCCUUCCACAAAAUAUAUAAGUAAAUGUUACAAACACUCACAUCAUUUGCUGCCUUUUAAGGGCAAUGCAAAUUAUGUAGUUUGUCAACCACAUCAUAAGAACUGCUGAGACGUUGGAAAUCAGAUCGGCGUAGUACACUUGCUUGGAUAUCGCUGGAGUUGUUUGGUUGAGAUUCUGUUUGGUUUUUCUUGGCUGAAUAACAGUGGUGAACACGGACUCGGUGAUCUCUUGUCUGACUAGUGCAAUUGCCACGCACCUUAACAACCAAAAUAGCUUCCAUGUCUCUGGAGUCUUCACACCAAGAGUUUUGUACAACACCAUCAACAAACUCUUCCAGGGUUUGAAAUUCUUCAUGAUGCACUGAUACCUCAACCAUAUGAUCUGGCCUUAUUAUACCAGUUGCAGGACUUACCUGAAUCAUAAAUGUGCAGGUUAUUACCUAAUGUUGUGUUACAAAUGAUAGGCCUUGUCUGAAGCAAAAAAAGUUUAAUGUUGAUCCACAUAAAAAAAACAUAGCUCCAGGACUAACAUCUUUUGUACUAAAUCCCAAUUAUUGGAGAUUAUUGGAGCCAGUUUUAUGUAGGGUGUGUUGCAGUGUUAUGUGCCGCAUAUGUGCUAUGAUUAAUGCAGUUAUGAGUAGAAUAUGCAUCUUCUAGUUAUUUAAAUUAUCGCUAAAGCAUUGCACAUAUUAAUCCACCUUGAAUCCAAUGUGAUAUCCUCAUUAAACCUUGUAAUUGCUAUAUAGCUUCCAUGUUUGACCUUCUUCGCAUAAAACCAGAUUGGUUCUCUUAGGUAUAGGUCUCUUGUCUUAAUCUACUCUUAAUUAAUAUUUAAUAUAAAUACUAUAUUGUGUAACUUUAGUAUAGGUAAGUAAAAUUUUGAAUUUAAUUUAAUCACUCUGAAAACUAUGAAUGUAACUGAAAUUUUAGGUAUCUAAAUUAACCACUAUUUAUUUGAAUCAAAUAUUUAUCCUUCAAAAUCAAGAUAAAUGAAAAGUAUGCUAAUCAAUAAAGGAAAACUUCGGCAUGGUGGCCACCUUUCUUCUUUUUCUAACUUAUUUAUUUAUUAAAAUAGAAGAAUAGGCUAAUAGAAAUAAAAAAUAAAGAAUGUUAGAAACGUGUAAUAGAAGUUAGCUAUAAGGCUAGUUGAUAUGUUAGACUUAGUAUAACUAUACUGUCAAUUCCUCACUGACUGUUUGUAACAGUACAACAGUGGGAGGAAAUGUUAUAAUCAUUUCACGCAUUCCUUGGAAAUGUACUGCUACAAACAGUCACUAACUAAUGCUACAAACAAGCGACUAUAACAUUUCCAAGGAAUGCAUUUCUGAAGGUACAUUUCAACUGUACUGCUACAAAUAGUUAGUAACUAACUGACAACAACAGUUGUUCUAACAUAUCAACUAGAACAACUAGCCUUAUAGCUAAUUUUUAUUUCACACUUCUAACAAAGAUUAACAUGCUAAAAAAACCUGUCACCAAAAAUAUUUCAUAAAAACGUUCAUUCUAAAAUAUGAGUAUCACCUCAAGCCACCUCGGGAAGCCAAAGGAACCUCUCAAUUGAUGGUUAGAUGCCUUCUGACCCUCCAAAACAGUACUCUGGCCUUCACAAAUUAUUUCGAACAGAGCAUUGUCUUCUGCACAUUUAUUUGUAAUACGCAAAAUUAAGGUGUCCUGGUUUUGAAGGAUUAUGUUGUUUGUACUAAUGAUAGUGUCAGGAAUCUUGCAUAAUCCUUUUAGAAGGUAUUUAAUUUUCUCAUUUGACUGAAGAAUCUCUCCAAACUCCUGUCUCCGGGUUGACUCAUCUACUCGGGCAAUAU